AUAAAUAAAAACAUGUUAGACAUUUUGUAAUCAUUCUACAGUUCUUGGAUAUUUUAUUCCUUUUUUCCUAAUUUUCAGUUUGGACAAUUCCUGUUGACAUCCUCAAGCUCACUUGCUUGUUUCCUCAGCUGUGUUCAGCUACUUUCAUUUUUGUUAGAGUGUUUCUGAUGUCUAGCAUUUCCUUGUUAUUCUUUAUUAGACUUUCCAUCUCUCUACUUACAUUAAUGACGUGUUCCUGUAUGUUGUCCAUUUUUUUCCAGCAGAGUUCUUAGUGGAUUAAUCAUAGCUAUUUUAAGUUCCUAGUCUGACAAUUCCAAAAUCUCUUCCAUAUCUGAGUUGGGUUCUGAUGUAUGCUUUGUCUUUUGAGUCUUUUUUUUUUUCCUUUUUAGCAUGCUUUGUAAUUUUUUUUUGUUGAAAGCCAUACCUGAUGUAUUUGGUAAAAGGAACUGAUGUAUGUAAGCUUUUAGUGUGACAUUUAAUUUUAUGUCACUAGGAGUUAGGCUCUAUCUACUGUUUGCUGUAGCUGUGGCAUCAGAGGCUAACGUGUCCUCUGGUGUCCUGGCUUUUGUCUCCCCUGUUGUCCUUGUGUUUCCUUAUAGACUCCUUCGUAAACAAAGUCUGAGCCUUGCAGUUCUUUUAGCUGUAACCUCCUGUUACUACACAGAAGGGCAACUGAUACUGUGAUAAGGUGAGAGAGGAAGGCUACAGGGGCUGGAGUGAGCAUUUUCCUUCCCCCAGAAACACAAGAUUUGUCUACGGUCUUCACAGUGAGAAUCUGGUCAGGCUCCUGGAGGAAAAACUUGUCAAAGGUUGGGCCCUCCUUGGAAUUUUUCACUCUCCAGUUGGCCUACAGUGAGCCUCCAGCAAUUCCUCAGUUACAGGAGUGUCCUUCUCAGUACCGGCUCCAGCUGUGGGCCUCUCCUCCUGAAUUUCUGCCCCGGGACCUCAAUUCUCUGAUUGCUCUAAGAAGAGGUGUUGAUUUUUCAGCUUGGUCCGCUUUUUUCUUGUUGUGAGGGUGAGACUUCAAGCUCAUCUUCCAAGCUGUUUAUAUUUUGGACCAUUGUCUCAGUCAUUUCAGGCUGGUACAAAAAAAAAUAUAUCACAUACUGGGUAGCUUAUAAGCAACAGAGAUUUAUUUCUCACAGCAUUGGGGGCUGGAAGUUUGAGAUCAGAGGUCACAGUGAAGGUGUGGUAAGAGCCCUCUUCUGGGUUGCAAAGUGUGACUUCUUGUUGUAGCCUCAUGCAGCACAGCAGAGAAAGCAAGCUCUCCGGUGAUUCUUACAAAGGCAUGAUCCCAUUUAUGGGGGCUUCACCCUCAUGACCUCAUCUAAUCCUAACUAAUUCCCAAAGGCCCCACCUCCUAAUACUAUCACAUGGCAGGGGAAGGGUUUCAACAAAUGAAUUUUGGGAGAAUACAAACAUUCAGUCCAUAACGACCAGAAACCAAAAGUUAUCUGUUGUCUUGGGUUUAUAAUGUACAUAUGACAUCCAUAGCAAAAAGAACAGUGCCAGCACCUUAUGGUCACAAGGUUUCUACAUUUUAUGUGAAGUGGUACAUUAUUAUCUCUAAAUAGAUGGUGAAAAGUUGAAGAUGUAUAUUGUAAUUGCUACAGCAACUACUAUACACAUAAUGCAAAGAGAUACAGCUAAAAAGCCCACAGAUAAAGUGGAAUUCUAAAAAAAUAUUCAACCACAGGAAAAAAAUAAAGGGCAAGAAAUCAGAAAACAAAAAAACAGAGGGGCAAAACAGAAACAAAUAAUAAAUGGUAGAAUUAAAUCCAUCAUAUCAUUAAUUACAUUAAACAUGAAUGGAGCCAAUGAGGAGAGGUAGGGUAGAUUUUGAGAAGGCCAAGCAUCAUCUUGAAAGAUGUCCACCCCACGUGGGCAUUUGCAGCGUCUCUAGGAAAUGGUAGGGUUAUUCCUCUCUAUCUAAGACACUGGGCUGCUUCUGCCAGCCUGAAGAGUUUAGGGGAAACUCCUAGUUUAAGGGUCUCAGGUGCAUAGCUGCAAAUUUCCCAUCCUAGGUCUCAAUGUUCCACUCCUCCUUUAUGAGAGGCCCGAAUUUAGCACAAGAAAUAAUCUAUAAAAUCUGCACAUAUAAUUUUCUUUGCAAUACUGCUGUCCUGCAGUUAAAUCUUGGAUAUGACUUAUAGGACAUGGCCUCAUCUCUCAGGAGGUAAGGAUCUUUUGAACGCUUUAAUGGAAGUCCGCUACCCUUCACUGUGUGCCCUGUGAUGAUAGUUAGCUAAUUUGAACCGAUCUUUAAGGCUUCUAAGGCAGAAAAGUCAGAAACUCCACAACUCAUCAACUUACUGUUGUCCCAUCCUGUUCAAGUGCCAAAGCUAUUGCAGAAGACAAAUGUUCCCUUCCCCGUCCUCACCCACCACACGAGGAUCGUUCUAAGUGUGGUAGUACAACACAACAAGGAUUAUCCUCACGCCACUUACCAUUAGCACCGUGGCCUUCACUGCCAUCUGACUCAUAAGUGAUCUAGUUCUAGAUUCCAAAACUGAAGUCCUCAUUUCUAGGACCACUUUUGGCACCAACAGUACUACUUUGGUCCCCACAAAAGCAGAGGCUGAGACAAAGAAUUGGGGUGCAGAUAGUUUAUUUUAGAGGUUAUGGGGAAAAUACAGGGAAUGGAGAGAAUUUGAGAGAAAAGGAGGGAAAGCCAAUAAAGUGAUGCUGGGGACAAAGAGACUAAAACCACUAAGGAGUCUGAAUAACUCUAAAGGAUGCACCUCAGAAUAGAUCCUGUUAGUUGAGGGUUGACCUUGGCAACAUUAACAUUGAGUAUAUUUUUUGUACCAUUUUUAGUGUUUGCUCACAGUUGACUGGUAGUGAUGUUUUAUCAGUUCCAGCGAGGUAUAGAAUAUUACUUCUUUACAGGCCCCAUUUUUUUUUCUUUUUUGGUGAGGAAGCUUGUCCCUGAGCUA